UGCACUGAUGCUCUAUCGCGUUAGUCUACUUUUUCAACUUUUCAGUAAUUGAUGGAAACAUGGGUUAAUAGGAACUAAUGAACGCAACUACUUUUAAGUAAACACAGAGCUAUAUUUUAUUUUAAUCUGUAAUUUUUACGCAAACUGGCUCCAAAGUUGAAAACAGUUGAUUGUAAGAUUUUCAUAACAUCAACAUUUUUUUAAUUGCGUUGAUUUAAUGGAAAAUUUGACUGGUUGACCAGCGGGGUAGAUACAUGUUGUGAAUUUCUUUUACCACAUAAAUAAUUUAAUGCAUAUGAUAAACGCGGUAUGAUGAGCCAAACAAAUACAAAUGCAAAUAGCUCAAUCAAUAAGGGCGAUCUGUUCAUUUACAUUUAGGAGAACAAUGUUGACAAUGGGCUUUAGUGACUAAACAAGAAUCAACUUCACAAAACUAACAUUAACUAAAAAGAAUUUAUCCUUGGGACGUCAAAUGUAAAUGGUAUUUCCUCAAGCUUUAUGGAUGUAAACGACAAAUGCAAAACUAUCUCGAAUAGUGAUUUUCAUUUUAUAUACAAAAAAUAUAAUUCAAGCUAAAUCAUUCAAUC